rnacentral:rRNA from 1 species
GGGAAUUUUGCACAAUGGGCGAAAGCCUGAUGCAGCAACGCCGCGUGCGGGAUGAAGGCCCUCGGGUUGUAAACCGCUUUCAGCAGGGACGAAUAUGACGGUACCUGCAGAAGAAGCCCCGGCUAACUACGUGCCAGCAGCCGCGGUAAUACGUAGGGGGCAAGCGUUAUCCGGAUUCAUUGGGCGUAAAGAGCGCGUAGGCGGACUGUUAAGUCAGAUGUGAAAACCGGGGGCUCAACCCGCGGCCUGCAUCUGAAACUGGCAGUCUUGAGUCUGGUAGAGGAAAGUGGAAUUCCUGGUGUAGCGGUGAAAUGCGCAGAUAUCAGGAGGAACACCAGUGGCGAAGGCGGCUUUCUGGGCCACGACUGACGCUGAGGCGCGAAAGCUAGGGGAGCGAACAG